UACGUAGGGUGCAAGCGUUGUCCGGAAUCACUGGGCUUAAAGCGUGUGUAGGCGGGUGCCUAAGUACCUUGUGAAAUCCCACGGCUCAACCGUGGAACUGCUUGGUAUACUGGGUAUCUUGAGCCACUUAGGGGCAACCGGAACAAACGGUGGAGCGGUGAAAUGCGUAGAUAUCGUUUGGAACGCCAAUGGUGAAAACAGGUUGCUGGGAGUGUGCUGACGCUGAGACACGAAAGCCAGGGGAGCAAACGGG
rnacentral:rRNA from 1 species